rnacentral:misc_RNA from 1 species
AGCAGCCGCGGUAAUUCCAGCUCCAAUAGCGUAUAUUAAAGUUGUUGCAGUUAAAAAGCUCGUAGUUGAAUUUCGGGAUCAAAGGAUCGGUCAUGCCUUGGUAUGUACUGGUUUUAUUGGUUCUCACCUUCUAAAGAACCAUAAUGUCAUUCAUUUGAUGUUAUGGGGAAUUAGGACUGUUACCUUGAAAAAAUUUAGAGUGUUUAAAGCAGGCUUACGCUUGAAUACAUUAGCAUGGAAUAAUGAAAUAGGACAUCAGAUUCUAUUUUGUUGGUUUCUAGGAUCGAUGUAAUGAUUAAUAGGGAUAGUUGGGGGCAUUAGUAUUCAAUUGUCAGAGGUGAAAUUCUUGGAUUUAUUGAAGACUAACUACUGCGAAAGCAUUUGCCAAGGAUGUUUUCAUUAAUCAAGAACGAAAGUUAGGGGAUCGAAGACGAUCAGAUACCGUCGUAGUCUUAACCAUAAACUAUGCCGACUAGGGAUCGGAUGAUGUUAAUUUUAUAAUGACUCAUUUCGGCA